GUCCACGCCGUAAACGAUGAGAACUAGAUGUUAGGGAGCUUGACUUUUUAGUAUCGUAGCAAACGCGCUAAGUUCUCCGCCUGGGGAGUACGGCCGCAAGGUUAAAACUCAAAGAAAUUGACGGGGGCCCGCACAAGCGGUGGAGCAUGUGGUUUAAUUCGAUGCAACGCGAAGAACCUUACCUACCUUUGAAUCCACGGAAUCUUGCUGAGAGGCGAGAGUGCCUUCGGGAACCGUGAGACAGGUGCUGCAUGGCUGUCGU
rnacentral:rRNA from 1 species